rnacentral:lncRNA from 1 species
UUCUCUCAAUAUGUUGUACUUUGUAGAUUGCUCAUCUCCGCCCGUGGGCGUAGGUCAAUUGUGUGUUUCUGUUUGUGUAUUUCUCUCUGAUUUAUUGUCGUUCAAGAGUUGUUUUACUAGCUUCUUCAUGAUACCUAAUUAUUUCGAUCCUAAACAUUUACAAUAUUGUGGGUAACUAUUAUUUGCAGAAGCACUAACCUUUCGUGUUAAGUGUUGUCCUCACCACGUUUACAACAAGCUGG